AUAUCAAUAAGCGCAGGAAAAGAAACCAACAGGGAUUGCCUCAGUAACGGCGAGUGAAGCGGCAACAGCUCAAAUUUGAAAUCUGGCCUCUCGGGGUCCGAGUUGUAAUUUGUAGAGGAUGUUUUGGGUACCGCCCCGGUCUAAAUUUCUUGGAACAGAAUGUCAGAGAGGGUGAGAAUCCCGUCUUGGACCGGCGGUAGGGCCUGUGUAAAACUCCUUCGACGAGUCGAGUUGUUUGGGAAUGCAGCUCAAAAUGGGUGGUAAAUUUCAUCUAAAGCUAAAUAUUGGCCAGAGACCGAUAGCGCACAAGUAGAGUGAUCGAAAGAUGAAAAGAACUUUGAAAAGAGAGUUAAACAGUAUGUGAAAUUGUUGAAAGGGAAGCGCUUGCAACCAGACUUGAGCGCGACGGUUCCCCUAGCCUUUUGGCUAGGUUACUCUGUCGUGUCCAGGCCAACAUCGGUUCUGAGGGCCGGUCAAAGGCCCCGGGAAUGUACCUACCCACGGGUAGACUUAUAGACCGGGGUGUCAUGCGGCCUCUCGGGACCGAGGAACGCGCUUCGGCUCGGAUGUUGGCGUAAUGGUUGUCAGCGACCCGUCUUGAAACACGGACCAAGGAGUCUAACAUCUAUGCGAGUGUUUGGGUGUCAAACCCGGAACGCGGAAUGAAAGUGAACGGAGGUAGGAAGCUUCGGCUGCACUAUCGACCGAUCCUGAAGUUUACGGAUGGAUUUGAGUAAGAGCAUAGCUGUUGGGACCCGAAAGAUGGUGAACUAUGCCUGAAUAGGGUGAAGCCAGAGGAAACUCUGGUGGAGGCUCGCAGCGGUUCUGACGUGCAAAUCGAUCGUCAAAUUUGGGUAUAGGGGCGAAAGACUAAUCGAACCAUCUGGUAGCUGGUUCCUGCCGAAGUUUCCCUCAGGAUAGCAGUAACGUUUUCAGUUUUAUGAGGUAAAGCGAAUGAUUAGAGGCCUUGGGGUUGAAACAACCUUAACCUAUUCUCAAACUUUAAAUAUGUAAGAAGUCCUUGUUACUUAAUUGAACGUGGACAUUUGAAUGUACCGUUACUAGUGGGCCAUUUUUGGUAAGCAGAACUGGCGAUGCGGGAUGAACCGAACGUGAGGUUAAGGUGCCGGAAUGCACGCUCAUCAGACACCACAAAAGGUGUCAAUGCAUCUAGACAGCCGGACGGUGGCCAUGGAAGUCGGAAUCCGCUUAGGAGUGUGUAACAACUCACCGGCCGAAUGCAUUGGCCCUGAAAAUGGAUGGCGCUUAAGCGUGCUACCUAUACCUCGCCGUUAGGGUUGACAUGAUGCCCUAACGAGUAGGCAGGCGUGGAGGUCCGUGACGAAGCCUUGGGGGUGACCCCGGGUCGAACGACCUCUAGUGC
rnacentral:rRNA from 1 species